ensembl:lncRNA
UAAUGAAUUGUCUUGUUUUAUUAUGCCCACUGCCAUAUCAACCUUCAGUCUAAAGGUAGUCUUGCUCUUCUAGGGCCUGACGCUGACAACAGCCAUGGGUGAUCAUCACGGUGCUCAGCAGCUACUCCGGCUGGGCCCUGUCUGCUGAGGGUUUCCUACUAAGCAACAACCUGCUCAACAUCGUAGGGGCCCUCAUCGGCUCCUCAGGGGCCAUUCUCUCCUGCGUCGUGUGUGGGGCUAGGCCAUGAACCGUUCCCUUGCCAACGUACAUCAUCCACUGGGUCAGGCAAGCCCAUGGAGAUCAUAGGAACGUGGACCAGACUGUCAAAAUGAUCGAAGACGCCCACAACAUCAUCAUCACUCCAGUUUGGUAUCCACCCGGAAUGCCUUGGUAGCUCAACGUGCUAUUGGCCGAGGUGGGCAUUCCCUAUGACAUCGUGCUGGAGAUGGAGGAGAUCAACGAGGACUUUGCUGAAACGGACCUGGUUCUGGUGAUUGGUGCAAACGACACAGUGAACUCUGCAGCCCAGGAGGACCCCAACUCCAUCAUCGAAUCCAUGAAGAGUGAACGAGUAUACACUUCAAGGGGGAAGAAAAGGUGGUUGUAAUGAAGCGUUCUCUGGGAGUGGGCUAUGCUGCAUUGGACAACCCCAUCUUCUACAAGCCCAACACAGCCAUGUUGCUUGGAGAUGCCAAGACGACCUGCGAUGCUCUGCGGGCUAAAGUCCGCGAGGCCAGCUAGUGAGCCGUGGCUGGUCCAGUAGGGCUCGGGCCUGUCUGACUGAGCAGCAGGUGGGAUGGAGAGGUGGUGCAGAGGUCCAGGGCACCACAACACAUGUUGGGCACAAACAAGCUAAUAGUUAGACAUAGCAUUAGUGUAUUGAUGUUGUCGUUUUCCUCUCCUGGCGACAAGUUUUCCUCCUCCCUUUUUCUUCUGAACAGUUGUUUGCUCUGAUGAUGAUGAGUAGGUGUUCUCUUCUUUCUUCGAUGUUUGUGACACCAUUGUUGUGCCAUGAGUAUUCUCUUCUCAGCCUCUUUUUCUAAGGAAGGGAAAAAAAUGCAAAACAGUGACAUGCUUUUUAUACCGUAGUUAGAUUUUUGUACUUGACAAAGUGUCAAAAUCGUUUGCGUUUAGCUCCUUCUGGCUUAGCAGCAACUGUUGCGUGAUUAAGUACAAUGUAAAGCCAUAUUCAGUAAUGGCAACUCUUAACUGUAUGCUUUUUUUGUGCAACAUGUGUGCUUACAGUGUAAUGACUAGCUUUGUGAUGUAGCACUAAUGUUACAUGUGAUUAUAACCUUUCAUAAGAAGGAUUUAGUGAAUGUGGCUCCAGUUGGCCCUCUGCCACACAGCUAAUCUCUUCCUCUUAGCACUAGAGGGACGUUGAAAGAACAGAGCAGAUAUGAAGUAAAGCUAAAUGAGUUUAAUAAGACAUGGACACCAUAAUAUAACUGUUAGAAUUGAUCAUCAAUUAUGAGAUGAUGGGCUUGAUUUAGCAUUGAUACGUUUAUGAGUUGCCGAUUUUGUCAAAUGGUUGGAGGGCAAGUCCUGCCAUGUCUGUGCCAAGCUCUUUCCUUAUGCCUUCAUCCAGAUAGAAUCCCUGUUUGCUUCCUUACUGGGACCAGGUACAAUGCA